GUUGCUUCUGCAUGAAGCAGUAAUAGCAGUUUCAGAGCUAAUCUUGGAGGAAUUAGAACCAGUACAAUAAGAGGAACUAAGUGGCCGUUGCUUUUCCCUAACAACAAUAGUUGUAUUGUCGAUGGGCUUGCGACGUCGCGAUCCAGGAACACGACGAAUCAGAACCCUAGUAUUGUUAGGGAUCAGCAUAUCAUCAGCGUAACAAUCAUUCGUCGCUAACGUCUCUGCUCAACUCAG
rnacentral:misc_RNA from 1 species